AUGUCAACUAUAAAUCGUCCCUCUUCUGUCAGAGCUAAAAUUGGCUGUAGAUCGAUAGCUCAACUUCCUGCCACUGCUGAAGGGGUGCUUGCAGGACGCUUCUACAAGUUCACUUAUGAAGUUGAGGAGGUUUUGGUUAAAAAUCCUGUGAAUGCAGAAACUGUGGAUCCUAUUCCUGAUGAAAGGACCAAGCCAAAUCAGACCCCUAAGAGGAGACGUACUGAACAAGAGAAAGGGGUGCCGCAGCCUGAGUCUACUGGACGUGACAACAUUGGGGGUUCCUAUCGU
rnacentral:rRNA from 1 species